UACGUAGGUGACCAGCGUUGUCCGGAUUUACUGGGCGUAAAGAGCGCGCAGGCGGUCGUUCCAGUCGAGUGUGAAAGCCCCCGGCUCAACUGGGGAGGGUCACUCGAUACUGAUCGACUUGAAGGCAGGAGAGGGAAGCGGAAUUCCCGGUGUAGUGGUGAAAUGCGUAGAUAUCGGGAGGAACACCAGUGGCGAAGGCGGCUUCCUGGACAAAGACUGACGCUCAGGUGCGAAAGCGUGGGGAGCAAACAGG
rnacentral:rRNA from 1 species